GAUACAUUGAAGUUAGAAUGGAGAAGAAAAGAUUUUUCAGACCGUGGAGGGAGUUCAUUGUAAGAGAUUGGGAGAUGAUAUUCUGAAGAGGAAAUGUUUGAUUUCCAGGGUAAGGGGUUUAUAUUGAAGAGAUAUGGAAAUAUCUCCAGUGAGCGUAGGCUGGGUUAUUGUUCGUUAUCAUCGAAGAGGCGCUUAAUCGUGUGGAGCGAACAGGAUUAGAGGCAUAGGGAGUUCCCUCGGGGUACUAUGAGUAAGAGGUGUUAGGAGGUUUUGUCCCGGUAUUUAUGCAGUUAUUGCUUUAAGCAUUUCCCGUGGGGAGUACGGCCGCGGAGUCUGAAACUCAAAGGAGUUGUCGGGGGGCCGCACAAGCGGGAGAGCAUGUGGUUUAAUUGGGAGCAACGCGAAGAUCGCUUAUCGAGUCUUGACAUGUCGUUGACUGGAUUAGAGAUUAGUCUUUCCCUUUGGGGACAGUGGUGACAGUUGGUGCAUGGGAGUAGUCAGCUCGUGUCGUGAGAGGUGGGGUUAAGUCCUUCAACGAGCGCAACCCUUGAUCUUAGUUGCCAGCAUUUAGUUGGGCGCUCUAAGGUAAUUGCCGGUGACAAACCGGAGGAAGGUGGGGAUGACGUCAAAUCAUGGGCCCCUAUGACCGGGGAAAUAAAUUCCCGCGGCCGCAUGGGGCCGAAACGGUUGAUGCUUAAUUAGGGUGAUGUGAAAAAAGUAAUUUAAUUGAAUAUUAGUUAUAGGUAUUAUGUAAUUUAA
rnacentral:rRNA from 1 species